ACAUUGAAACACUGAUUCCGAUAUGAUCACUAAAGUUAAGCAAUGUUGAGACUGGUCAGUACUUAGAUGAGUGACUGCUUGGGAAUACCAGGUACUGUAAG